AGAGAGAAAGAGAGAGAGAGAGAGAGACUACUACCCAUUCCGCUUUAAAAAUCGUGUUGCAGUAGCAGCUCUUCGCGAUUCGCUCCCCCUCUCCUUUCUUCUUCCUCUUCUCGUUAGGGUUAGGUUUAGGGUUUCGACCGCUCGCGCUUUCCUCCUAUCCCCACCUCCUCCAUGGCCGCGCUCUAGUGCUGCUUCCUACCCCCCACUCGACCCCGAUGUCGUCCUCCUCCUGCGGCAGCGGCGGCGGCGGCGGCGGAGGUGAGCCGAGCGAUCACGCGGCGGCGGAGGGGGUCGACCACUUCGAUCGCCUCCCCGACGCGAUCAUCCUCGUCGUCCUCAACUGGAUCGGCGACGUCAAGGCCCUCGGCCGCUGCUCCCUCGUCUCCCGCCGCUUCCGCUUCCUCGUCCCCUUCGUCGACCGCGUCGUCGACAGGCCCCGCGGCGUCCUCUCCCACCUCUCCCGCUUCUUCUUCGCUGGCCUCGUCAAGCCCUUCCAAGCCCUGGGCCAGAUCUUCUCCCCCGCCUCCGGGCACCGGAGGUCCUCCUCCUCCUCCUCUUCCUCCGCCGCCGCCGCUGCCGAGUCCGGGGUCUCCCACCGGUCCCCCACGGAGGUGUUGAAGAGCUUCAAGGUGAUCCGCCACCUCGGGAUCGAGCUCCCCGCGGGGGAGCUCACCGUCGACGACGGCCUCCUCAUCAAGUGGAAGGCCGGGUUCGGCUCCACCCUCGACAGCUGCGUCAUCCUCUGCGCCUCCUCCGUCUCCCCCAACUCCUCAAACCCUAACCCUAGGCCCAAUUCCCACGACCCCUCCCUCCCCGACGACGACAGCAGCGUCAGCAUCCCGGAUUCCUUCUACUCCAGCGGAAAACUGAAGCUCCGCGUCGUCUGGACCAUCAGCGCUCUCAUCGCCGCAUCGGCGCGGCAUUACCUCCUCCACCCGAUCAUCGCCGAGCACGCGACGCUGCAGAGCCUGAACCUGACGGAUUCCGACGGGCAGGGGGAGCUGACCAUGGACGCGCGGCAGCUGCAGGAGCUCCGGGUGACGCCGGCGUGCGCGCCCGGGAACUCGCAGCGCACCCUCGUGCCGGCCCUCAGCAUGCUGCUGUGGUACGCCCCUCUGCUGGAGCUGCCGGCAGGGCUCGUGCUCAAAGGGGCGACAUUGGUGGCCGUCCGACCGAACGAGGAGAAGGGCAACGCCGGUUUGGGCUCUGCCGACGUGCACGGCUGGGUGUCAAAUGCAUUCGAGGAGCCGUAUGGGAUGGCCGCGAGGAUGCUGGUGAACAGGCGGACUUACUGUCUCGAAAUGAACUCCUUCUGAUUCUCCAAAAGACGCGCCUGGAUCGAUCCCUACCGCUGAAUGCCAUUAUAACUGGAAUGUAGCGGGCAUAGGAUGUGAAGCAUUUGAUUAAUAUGGGAUCUAGCGGCACUAGGUGUUGGCUUAAAGGGGCCAGCAUUCUGCCCUAUGACGGGAGGCUAGAUUGGACCGAGUCUCAUUCGAAAUGACGUGAGGCUAGGUGGGCCGAGUCAUGUUUGAAAUGGCGUGAGGCUAGUAGGGUCAAAUCACAAUCGAGAUCCGUGGGUGCUGUAUCUGUGCACUGGAAAAAUGCAUCCGGCAAUAAACCUCAUAAGCGCAGGCAAGACGGUUCAUUAUUGUAGCAGAAAGUGCCGCGACAUGUCAAUAUCGAACUACGGUGGCCUCGUGUGAUUUACGGAGCAAGGAAGCCAUCCCGUAUGUAGCACCAGUUCUCAUUUACGGAGAUU